rnacentral:rRNA from 1 species
UGGGGAAUAUUGCACAAUGGGCGCAAGACUGAUGCAGCCAUGCCGCGUGUAUGAAGAAGGACUUCGGGUUGUAAAGUACUUUCAGCGGGGAGGAAGGGAGUAAAGUUAAUACCUUUGCUCAUUGACGUUACCCGCAGAAGAAGCACCGGCUAACUCCGUGCCAGCAGCCGCGGUAAUACGGAGGGUGCAAGCGUUAAUCGGAAUUACUGGGCGUAAAGCGCACGCAGGCGGUUUGUUAAGUCAGAUGUGAAAUCCCCGGGCUCAACCUGGGAACUGCAUCUGAUACUGGCAAGCUUGAGUCUCGUAGAGGGGGGUAGAAUUCCAGGUGUAGCGGUGAAAUGCGUAGAGAUCUGGAGGAAUACCGGUGGCGAAGGCGGCCCCCUGGACGAAGACUGACGCUCAGGUGCGAAAGCGUGGGGAGCAAACA